rnacentral:rRNA from 1 species
UACGGAGGGUGCGAGCGUUGUCCGGAAUCACUGGGCGUAAAGGGCGCGUAGGUGGCUUCUUAAGCGUGCGGUGAAAGCCUGGGGCUCAACCCCGGGUCGGCCGUGCGAACUGGGGGGCUGGAGCACUGUAGAGGCAGGCGGAAUUCCGGGUGUAGCGGUGGAAUGCGUAGAGAUCCGGAAGAACACCGGUGGCGAAGGCGGCCUGCUGGGCAGUUGCUGACACUGAGGCGCGACAGCGUGGGGAGCAAACAGG